rnacentral:rRNA from 1 species
GAUGAACGCUGGCGGCGUGCCUAAUACAUGCAAGUCGAGCGAACAGACGAGGAGCUUGCUCCUCUGACGUUAGCGGCGGACGGGUGAGUAACACGUGGAUAACCUACCUAUAAGACUGGGAUAACUUCGGGAAACCGGAGCUAAUACCGGAUAAUAUAUUGAACCGCAUGGUUCAAUAGUGAAAGACGGUUUUGCUGUCACUUAUAGAUGGAUCCGCGCCGCAUUAGCUAGUUGGUAAGGUAACGGCUUACCAAGGCGACGAUGCGUAGCCGACCUGAGAGGGUGAUCGGCCACACUGGAACUGAGACACGGUCCAGACUCCUACGGGAGGCAGCAGGAGGGAAUCUUCCGCAAUGGGCGAAAGCCUGACGGAGCAACGCCGCGGGAGUGAUGAAGGUCUUCGGAUCGUAAAACUCUGUUAUUAGGGAAGAACAAAUGUGUAAGUAACUAUGCACGUCUUGACGGUACCUAAGCAGAAAGCCACGGCUAACUACGU